rnacentral:rRNA from 1 species
UCGGGAAUUUUGGGCAAUGGGCGAAAGCCUGACCCAGCAACGCCGCGUGAAGGAUGAAGUCUUUCGGGAUGUAAACUUCGUAAAAAUAGGAAGAAUAAAUGACGGUACUAUUUGUAAGGUCCGGCUAACUACGUGCCAGCAGCCGCGGUAAUACGUAGGGACCAAGCGUUGUUCGGAUUUACUGGGCGUAAAGGGCGCGUAGGCGGCGUGGUAAGUCACUUGUGAAAUCUCCGAGCUUAACUCGGAACGGUCAAGUGAUACUGCUGUGCUAGAGUACAGAAGGGGCAAUCGGAAUUCUUGGUGUAGCGGUGAAAUGCGUAGAUAUCAAGAGGAACACCUGAGGUGGCGACGGGUUGCUGGGCUGAUACUGACGCUGAGGCGCGAAAGCUAGGGUAGCAAACGGGAUUAGAUACCCUUGUAGUCCCUGAGCGGGCUGGCAAGGCGCAU